GAGCCCGAGUCAGCUCCGCGGACGCCGGCCCGGCCACGUGACCGCGCCCGCUGCGGCCCCAGCUGCAGAUGCCGUCCCCUCCCCCGGGCACUUUUCCAUCAGGCUGUGAGCAGCUGGAUCAAUUUACUCAAGCUCCAGCGCCUAGCACCAGCACGGGCUGAAUUAUUACUCGUGGAAAUCCCCUCUGUUUCAGGAAAUCAGGUAGCUUUCAAACUCCCAACAAUGAAUGGCCCUUUGGGUCCAGGGAGAAUAGCAAAAAAUAUAAAACCAAAAAAAAAAAAAGACUAGGCUACAGGUUUCCAAACAGGCUGUUUGGUUUCUAGUAAAUUAGAGAGUGGGCGGUUGAGGUACCAAGUAAUGUUAUGCUGGGGAGUGUGGUCUUCUUUGACGUCACCAAAAUGUUUCUCCACUGACCGCCCCCCCACCCCGCCCCCAGCCGCCUUUCCCUGCUUUUCCCUCCUCGGCCCGUUUGCACCCUGGUCUUUUUCCUCCCUCCUCCUUCCCUCUUGCUGUCACGGAGACAGAUGACAUAGGGAAGCUCUGGAAAAUCGCUCAGAGUUGUGCAACGGAGCUCGCAGGCUCAGAAAAUUCCCAUAUUUUCAAAAACAAAGGCCAUGAGGUUGGAGGGGCGGCGGGGUGGGGAUGGGUAUAGAUCUUCAGCCACUGUCUCAGCCGGCCAAAAAUCCAUGCGACUCAGGCCAGGAGGGGAGAGGCUGCUAAAAAAACCAGCAGCCGCCACCACUGGCUGUACGUUCCUCCCAUCCUCUCUCCUGAUUAGCAGUUCUGUCUGAGGGAACAUUCUUCCUGUGGCAAAGAACACAUUCUUGCCUCCAGUCGGCUUGAAAUAGAAUCCUGGAGAGCAUGCACCCGCCGCCCUGCUGCUGCAUCCGGGGGAGGGGGAGGCAGCCCCCUCUGCUGUGCACUGAUUUCUCCAGCACCCUCGCCCCCCCGCACCUCUCCCCACCCAGUUGUUUUUCCUAUCCUCACGCAAGGGAGCGACAGCUGCCCCCAUGUUGACAUUGAACGAUCUCGAAUGAGCGUUCCACGGCUACAUAUGUAAGCAUUUGUAGCCUGACCCUGCUAUCUUUUUAUUUCCCCUUUAAGUUGAUUUUGGGGCCCAGUUGUUUCAACAAGGACCGCUGUGGUCACUCCACGGCAGGGUCCCGCCCACAGUCACAUGAUGAGUGUUGGUGGGGCCGGCAAUUCUCUGUGUGGCUAGUAAUUGUCAUGUAGCUCAGCGAGACUGCUUGGUUUCUACAACAUUGUAAAUCAACUGUACUUCCAUUUUAAAAACAUAAAAUGAAAAAAACGUAGAUUCUGAUGCAAAAAAAAAAGACUACUUAAGUUUCUAAAGUCACCUGACUCGUAUUCUUUACCUAGGCAGCUCUUGAAAAGCAGACAUCUGUGUCCAGAUGUCACAUUAGGGAGUAUGGUUCCAGGCAAGGUAGGCUAAGGAGCAGCCCAGGGUACACGUGGGCCUGGUUUUUUCCAUCAGUCUCUGGUGGCUCCUCCCUCCUCCCUCAUCCUUUCUCUGAUCUAGACAGCAAGAACCUCAGAGGACCUUGGAACAGGGAGCGCUUUCUAAAUCAGAGCCUCCAGAUGCUCUUUGCAGGCACUGAGUUCCCCUGAAAAGUCUACUGGCAUUGAAAAAAUACGCUCAUACAAAAAUGGAGGUCACGUGCAUCUAUUCAGAAAUUAGACGUGGAACCAGAAAGACUAAAGAAUUCAUCGUAUGUAUUUGCAGAGGGUGGGGUGGUGCAAGGGAGUGUCAUAAGUGGGUUGGGUGACACUUCUUCAGCAAGGGCACAGACCACGAUCUCUGCUAGCAUAAGUGUUGGGAGGACCAACGAAUGAGCAAGGGGAUGAACGUAAGAAAUGAGCCUGGAACACAAAGAAAGCACAAAGGAGCCCAAAGUUUCUGGGAGGUAAGGCCGAUGGGCUGGGGCAUGUCUGCCAGACAUUGGUUUGAAGGAGAACAGACUUGUAAAGUGUAAACGCAGGGAUUUCCCUGCCUUCCAGUGGUUAAGACUCCACCCUUCCAAUGCAGUGGGCACAGGUUUGAUCCCUGGUCAGGGAACUAAGAUCCCUCAUGCCACACGGCACGGCCAAAAAAAUUUAAAAAUAAAGUUUUUUUUUAAAAGUGUAAACACAAAACGGAGUCUGACAUAAUGACAAGUGACAGUAACAUUAGAUGACACAACACAUCCUAUAUACCAGAUAUUGCAAGUGUCUUACCUGGCACCACUGGCUUAGUCUCUGUAGCACCCUCCAGAGGUGGAAACUCACUGGAGGACCUGUCAGCUCUUUGGGGCACCAAGGAAGAGAUUCCUGUACCUGAAAGAUUUAGGAGGACUGGAAGCAGAUCCAGUCAAUACAGAGCAACCCAUGUGUAUCUUUAAAGUCUGUCCAACCUGCCUGCCUAGUUUUGCCUCCACUGUAGCUUCUGCCUCCACCGGCCAUCGCUGAGAGAGGGUCCCUGCUCCCCUGCUGACUCACGGAGCAGAGAUCCCUCAGAAAGGAAUGAGUUCUGGUCUCCAGGCAGCCAAAGCCAGCCUCCCUGCCUCCACUCUACUGCUCCUUCCUUCUCUCAGAAACGCCAGGCCUUCCACAGAUGCAUCUGAGACUCACUGAUGCUUCCUCCGGGAACACCCCUUCAACACCCCUUCAUCAAGGCCCUGACUUUUCUGGGUGACCUCUGGGCCCUGAUGGAAGCACCCUCCCACCUCCUGGGACCUUUAGGGACCCAGUCCUGGUACCAGAGAGACAGCCCUGUGUACGUGUGUGCUCAGUCGCUUCAGUCGUGUCCGACCCUUGGUGACCUCAUGGACUGUAGCCUGCCAGGCUCCUCUGUCCAUGGGAUUCUCCAGGCAAGGAUACUGGAGUGGGUCGCCAUGCCCUCCUCCAGAAAGCAGCCCUGAGACGGCAUAAUUUGAAAUCUCAUCAUUUCAGUUGUUCAGGCACGUCUGACUCUUUGAGACCCCAUGGACCGUAGCCCACCAGGAUUCUGUCCACGGGAUUCUCCAGGCAAGAAUGCUGGAGUGAGUUGACAUGCCCUCCUCCAGGGGAUCUUCCCGACCUAGAGAUCAAACCUGCAUUUCCUGCUUUGGAGGCAGAUUCUUUACCACUGAGCCACUGGGGAAGCCCUAAAAACGUAAAGGGCUAUCUUUUUUUUUUUUUUUAAUCUGCUAGCUAAUAAAUAUAGCUCUGGGUCUAGGGGGAAGUGGCAGAGAGAUGGCACCAAGACCCAAGUCAGCCUCCGCUUGCAGCAAGAUACGUGAUAAGUAGCCUGAGUGGUGUCAAAGCCAUGGCUGGAAAAGUCACCUGCAUCACGCAAGACACACACCAAGGAAGGUGGUGCCACUUGGCUUCGAGGGAGACUGGCCACAGUCUUGGGUAUUUGGGGGUUCUUUAAGGUUAUUUAUUUAUUCAUCUUUGCUGCUGUGUGCAGGCUUUCUCUAGUUGCAGUGAGCAAGGGCUGCUCUUGGUUUUGGUUUGCAGGCUUCUCAUUGAGGCAGCUU
ensembl:lncRNA